GCUGUAACUCUGCAUGUUGUAUGCCUCAGAAAAAAAGCUGUCUGCUGACAUCAUCCGAAGUGGUAGUCUGAUCCAAUCACAAUGCUUCCCCAUAGGAUUGGCUGAGACUGACAAAGAGGCAGAUCAGGAGCAGAGCCAGCAUGAUUCAAACACAGCCCUGGACAAUCAGCAUCUCCUCGUAGAGAUUAAUUGAAUCAAUGAAUCUCUAUGAGGAAGGUUCAGUGUCUGCAUGCAGAGGGAGGAGACACUGAAUGUUUGGAUGAAUUUUAGGCAGCCAUGACCCAGGAAGGAUCUCUAACAGUCAUCUGAGGAGUGACCAGUGAAGUUAUCACUAGGCGGUAAUGUAAACACUGCAUUUUCUCUGACAAGACAGUGUUUACAGCAAAAAGCCUGGAGGUAAUGAUUCUAAUCAGAACAAAUGCAAUAAGCUGUAGUUGUUCUGGUGACUAAAGUGUCCCUUUAAGGGUGGUCAUCUCCUCCCUCAUUAUUUCCAUGGAGCACCACUUGCAUGUCUUUCAAUAGAGCUUUGAUGCCAGUCUUAGAGGAGAGGGCUUCAUCCCUUUGGAUUGUAGAGUGAGGUGGACUGACCCGUAUAUUUGUUAAAGCUGGUAAGUCUUCCUCCAGGCUGUAGUCCUCCAAAGAUGCUGAGGAGUCUGGCGCUUCAAUAUCGCGGGACCCAGAUGGCCUGUAGGUAAGAACUGACCAACUAAUCCAUUGGGAUGAAGUGAAAGCACGGCAGGUGGUACUAUAGACAUAAAGCGUGAAGUUCAUAUAAGACAAGUCCAUCUCUGAUGAGUACUGGCGCCGUCGCCCAGUUCAGCUAUUUUUACUUAAAUUUGCAAUUCUCUUAGCAUUCUCCAUUUAAUGAAAAAGCCUGUUGGAUAAUUUUUCCAGUUUACCUAUUUUAACCUUAAAUCUUAAAUUCACUUUGAAUUCUCACUUUAGUGAAUAGCCCUUUUAGUCUCAAUAGUCUAUAUAGUCUGAGUCAAGGUGCAUGUAAAUGGCUGAAAGAUCAUGUCAUAUAAUAAAGGUAGGGGUGAGUUCUUUUAUUUUUAUUUACAAUUAUACUUAAAAUGAUUUCCUUUCAAAACUUGAAAGCAUUAAACCUUUAAAAUAGUUUUGAGGUGUCAGUAGCUGCCUGAAUUAUAAAGAAAAAAUAUUAAAUAAACAAUUUCCACCAACCAUGGAGAUCUGGGGGGUAAAGACCUUACUUUAGGGGUUUUAUCCUCCAUAGCUCCACUAGCAUGGCUUAUGGCAGUAGUUAAUGUAUGGUGGUUAUGAAUACUUGAUGUGUGCCUUUAACAAUGUAAACCAAUAAUAGAUAUGGUUGUUGGAGCAGUAUGAGAGCCAAAUGAAAAACAAUAAACUUGCUUAUCUCAUUUAUGC